UUUUUCUGCGCCGGGCCGCCUCUGCCUGCAAAAGAUACCAAGAGCCACCGGAUCUUUCAUUCACUCUCCACUUUUUAGCUAUAAAUUCAUACCCACCUCGUUGUUUCCGCUUGCCAAGCUCAUAAGCCUACCUGCCCAACUCAACUCUCAUAUUUGAUCCUCUCCUGUUCAGGGUAAAUAUGGCAACUGUGACUGUUCCCUCCCAAUGCAUGGUCAAAAUUGCACCCAAAAA
rnacentral:misc_RNA from 1 species